AACGAACGCUGGCGGCGUGGAUAAGACAUGCAAGUCGAACGCGAUUUUCUCGGUUAGCAAUAACUGAGGAAAUUGAGUGGCGAAUGGGUGCGUAACACGUGGGAAUUUAUCCGGAAGUGGGGGAUAGCUCGUCGAAAGGCGAAUUAAUACCGCAUAUGCCUGUAAGGGCAAAGUGGGGGACCGCAAGGCCUCACGCUAUCGGAGGAGCCCGCGCCCUAUCAGCUAGUUGGUGAGGUAAUGGCUCACCAAGGCUUAGACGGGUAGCUGGUCUGAGAGGACGACCAGCCACACUGGAACUGAGACACGGUCCAGACACCUACGGGUGGCAGCAGUCGAGGAUUUUUCUCAAUGGGGGCAACCCUGAAGGAGCGACGCCGCGUGGAGGAUGAAGGGCUUCGGCUCGUAAACUCCUGUCACCGACGAACAAGACAUCCGGAUUAAUAACUCGGAUGUUUGAUGGUAGUCGGAGAGGAAGGGGCGGCUAACUCUGUGCCAGCAGCCGCGGUGAUACAGAGGCCCCAAGCGUUGUUCGGAUUUACUGGGCGUAAAGGGUGUGUAGGGGGUUAGGUUAGUCUGACGUGAAAUACCGUUGCUCAACAACGGAACUGCGUCGGAUACUGCCUAGCUAGAGGUUCGGAGAUGAGGGCGGAAUUCUCGGUGUAGCGGUGAAAUGCGUAGAUAUCGAGAGGAACGCCGAUGGCGAAAGCAGCCCUCAAGACGAAAUCUGACCCUGAAACACGAAGGCCAGGGGAGCAAACGGGAUUAGAUACCCCGGUAGUCCUGGCAGUAAACGGUGCUCAUUAGAUGUAGGCGGAUUCGACCCCGCCUGUGUCGAACCUAACGGAUUAAAUGAGCCGCCUGGGAAGUACGGUCGCAAGAUUAAAACUCAAAGGAAUUGACGGGGACCCGCACAAGCAGCGGAGCGUGUGGUUUAAUUCGAGGCUACGCGAAGAACCUUACCAGGGUUUGACAUUCAUGUAGUAGGGAAGCGAAAGCGGACCGACCCUUCGGGGAGCAUGAACAGGUGAUGCAUGGCUGUCGUCAGCUCGUGCCGUGAGGUGUUCGGUUAAGUCCGUUAACGAGCGCAACCCUCGUGGUUAGUUAUUCCCGGGCAACCGGAAUCUGACCAGACUGCCCUGUGAAACGGGGAGGAAGGUGGGGACGACGUCAAGUCCGUAUGGCCCUUACGGCCAGGGCUGCACACGUACUACAAUGCCCAAUACAGAGGGACGCAAGACCGCAAGGUGGAGCUAAUCCCGUAAAGUUGGGCCCAGUUCGGAUUGGAGGCUGCAACUCGCCUCCAUGAAGUUGGAAUCGCUAGUAAUGGCGCAUCAGCUACGGCGCCGUGAAUACGUUCCCGGGCCUUGUACACACCGCCCGUCACAUCAUGAAAGCCGGUUACACCCAAAGUCGCCUUAUGGUGCCCAAGGUGUGGCUGGUGAUUGGGAUG
rnacentral:rRNA from 1 species